CCUACGGGAGGCAGCAGUGGGGAAUAUUGGACAAUGGGGGGAACCCUGAUCCAGCCAUGCCGCGGGUGUGAAGAAGGCCCUCGGGUUGUAAAGCACUUUCAGUGGGGAAGAACGCCUGGUGGUUAAUACCCAUCAGGAAAGACAUCACUCACAGAAGAAGCACCGGCUAACUCCGUGCCAGCAGCCGCGGUAAUACGGAGGGUGCGAGCGUUAAUCGGAAUUACUGGGCGUAAAGCGCGCGUAGGUGGCUUGAUAAGCCGGUUGUGAAAGCCCCGGGCUCAACCUGGGAACGGCAUCCGGAACUGUCAAGCUAGAGUGCAGGAGAGGAAGGUAGAAUUCCCGGUGUAGCGGUGAAAUGCGUAGAGAUCGGGAGGAAUACCAGUGGCGAAGGCGGCCUUCUGGACUGACACUGACACUGAGGUGCGAAAGCGUGGGUAGCAAACAGGAUUAGAUACCCGUGUAGUC
rnacentral:rRNA from 1 species